UUUUCUUUGAACUGUAAUGAAUACGAUUGUUUCAUCUCUUUUUCUUGACGACAGAUUCCUCGGGUUUGCUCAUCACUUUGAGUGUCUUUGUGGUUUUACUGCUGAUUGUAGUGACUGGAGAAUCAGCACUGAUCUACAGACUGAUCCACAAUAGGACACAAGGGUCUGUCUCUGAGAGAAGAACACAGAACACAGCUGAUGAUGAUUAUGAAAAUGAUCCUCCUGGAAACAGGAACAAGAUCAGCAUGGCUCCAAUCUACCAGAGCCUGGACCCCAACACCAACCAAUCAGAUGCAGUCUACCAGAGCCUAAAACCCAACACCAGCCAAUCAGAUUCAGUCUACCAGAG